CUUGCAGUCUCUCACUGAGGACCAAGAGACAUUGGUGUGCAGGAGAUUCAGUGCGUGUGUUUGUCAUUCCCGUGUGGAUUUGUUUCAAAGACAUUGUCAUCUGUGUAGAAGCCAGUUUCGAUCUCUGGUUUCUACCCCUUGCCCUGCUGGUAGGGCAUUGUGUGGCACCCGUUGCAGGCCACCUGGGUGCAGGAGAUCGAGGCGGGUGAAGGGAGGAGCAACCCUGAGCAUCUGCCAUCCAGCUCCAUCCAAUCUAGAGCAAUUCCAGGAUGGAGCGAAUAAGGCGGAUGCUCAGGAGGAAGGCCGGGCAGGUGGCUCCA